UAGAUGCGAGAGUAGAGCAUAUCAAUAAGCGGAGGAAAAGAAACUAACAAGGAUUCCCUUAGUAACGGCGAGUGAAGCGGGAAGAGCUCAAAUUUGAAAUCUUCAAGGUUCUACCUUGACGAAUUGUAGUUUAUAAGAAGUGUUUUCUGUUAGGUAGAUUUGGCUAAAAGUUCUUUGGAAUAGGACAUCAUAGAGGGUGAGAAUCCCGUAUUUGGUCAUUCUUUCUAGCUGUGUGAUACACUUUCAACGAGUCGGAUUGUUUGGGAAUGCAGUCCAAAAUGGGUGGUAAAUUUCAUCUAAAGCUAAAUAUUGGCGAGAGACCGAUAGCGAACAAGUACCGUGAGGGAAAGAUGAAAAGAACUUUGAAAAGAGAGUUAAACAGUACGUGAAAUUGUCAAAAGGGAAGCGUUUGACACCAGUGUUGUUUUUCCGAAAAUCAAUUACGAAUGUUUUGUUUUUAAGAAGUUAUGACUUCAUCGGCUUGCUUCUUUCUUUACGAAACUUUCUUAAUGCACUUUUCGGUUAACAAGUCAACAUCAAUUUCUUUUGUUGUAAAAGGGUAUGAGGAAGGUGGCUUUCUUUUCGGAGAAAGUGUUUAUAGCCUUGUACCUCUGCAAUCGGAGAGAUUGAGGUCUGCAGCGUAGAUCCUUCGGGGUUAGAUACAUUCGUGCUAAGUUAUAGCUUUUCAUAGACAACUUGUUGACUAUGUUAAGUCUUGUAGCUUACUCGCUUAUGCUAUUUUACCUACGCUUAGGAUGUUGACGAGACUGUCGAUCUC
rnacentral:rRNA from 1 species